GUAGGGAAUAUUGCGCAAUGGACGAAAGUCUGACGCAGCGACGCCGCGUGAGUGAUGAAGGCCUUAGGGUCGUAAAGCUCUGUUGAAUGGGAAGAAAAAAAUGACGGUACCAUUCGAGGAAGGACCGGCUAACUUCGUGCCAGCAGCCGCGGUAAUACGAGGGGUCCUAGCGUUGUUCGGAAUCAUUGGGCGUAAAGGGUGUGUAGGUGGCCAUGUAAGUCAGGUGUGAAAGCCCCGGGCUCAACCCGGGAAGUGCACUGGAUACUGCGUGGCUUGAGUACCGAAGAGGGUAGUGGAAUUCCAGGUGUAGUGGUGAAAUACGUAGAUAUCUGGAGGAACACCGGUGGCGAAGGCGGCUACCUGGUCGAGUACUGACACUGAGACACGAAAGCAUGGGGAUCAAACAGGAUUAGAUACCCCGGUAGUCC
rnacentral:rRNA from 1 species